rnacentral:lncRNA from 1 species
CAAAUAUUAACACUUAAAGUGUAGGCCUAAUACUACAAAUAUUAGGCAUAUUGAGCAUUUGUGCUUCUAACAUUAGUUAAUCUAUUUGCUUAGAAAUAUCCCUUUUUAUUUGCUAUUUAUACAAUAAACACAAUUGAAGAAUGUAGGGAGAUCUUUCUGUAGGCCUAUUUCAAUAUCUUACGAUAUUGAAUAUUUAAUGUCCGUUUCUUUUAUGGCCAAACACUGAUUGAAAUAUGCAUUAUAAUGCGCUGGAUUAUAUAGAGGAAAUCCACAUUUGAGUCUGGCCAAUCUCUGCAAACUGUUCUAUUUACACAACAGUAGCGUGCUUCCCAAAAAACGGUCGGUGACUGUUUUGAUAAAAGGGGUGACCCGCGAGGUUGGCUGAUGCCUCCCCUGCUCUCUCUGUACACAACCUCGCGACCCUUGGCACAGCCAGAGAAAACACAGUCUGCACGCAAUGCCGGGUCUGUGGCACAAUGAUUAACCCGUAAAUGUGCUGUCAAUCCGCUUCGUAGCCUGCAAAGCCCGCUGAGAGUUGGAGGGGGUAGACGAGGUUCAUUUGUUUCAUGGCUCGUGUUGCGUGUCAAGCAUUAUAUAUCUUCUUUCACUGUGUUGCUGUAUGUCUGUCUUUGUACACGCGUUUCAUAUUUCCUUUCUUUAUGAUAUCUCCUCUUUAUUUUUUUCCCUCCCACAGUUUGAGUCAGCGUAAAAAAGCGCAUGGCAGCUUCGUGCGUGACAGAAAGAUGGAUGACCGAGAGAUUUCCGCACGCAACAAUUGUUUUUCCCGGGGCUGCUGCCUUCAAUUGACUGACCAAGCAGAUUUAGGAUUGUCCCGAAGACCAUGCCCACCCCUCCAUGCCGGAGCUCCGCUUUCUCACUCGAACUGCAGGAGCAGGGACGCUGCGCUGAGGUGCAGGGGCGUGCUGACAGAAUACUCCCCCACCCCCACACCCCAGCAUCCUUAACCAAGGGCUGGGGGAGGCGAGGGCUUGGCCAAAACGCUCCCACGCAACUUGGCCAAUCAUUAACUUGACUGCUAACAGGUACACGCACGCAAUGGCAUUUGACAGUUUUUAUCACGACUUGUUUCAAAACAGACCCCGCUCAGAAUGGUGUGUUGUAGAUGCUGAGGUCUAGAAGACUCGAUUCUGGGUCUUAAUACAUAUAACUUACAUUUGAGUAAGUUCCAAUUGGGAUAUUGAUUAACACAACAGGGAUCCGAAGUCAAACACUUUGGAUAGCUUACACAAGCAGACAAGACAAUAUAGUCUCUUAUCUCAAUCGAAUGUUUUAUCCUCCAUGACACACUUGAUAGGUUGGCUACAUUUGUUUCCUAUAAGUUAAUAAGACGCACACGUCUUCCCAUUGUCCUUAUAUGCACCACUGUUAUACUGUUGACAGGUUGGUUGAGUGAGAUUUAUCAAACUGUCAAAGAUGAGUCUCUUGAUUAAAAGUACUUCGGGGCUGUAAAUUCUCCCGCUUGGGAUAGGCUACACCUUUGCACGCUAUCGAAAUCUGUUGCAAUGAGUAGGCCUAAAGGAAAGAUUGCCAAAGGGUUUAUGACUUAAUAACCAAUGCGUAACAGUUUCCUGUUAAUUAAUUUAUGGAACAAGUAUUCAAAGAAGAAAUGUUGAUGUUUGCUAAUAAUAAAAUAUAAAAAUGAAUACCACUGGAAACAGACUAGACACUGAUGGUACAUUUACUUUUGAAAAUAUUGUGGGCCCAAAGUGAUUAACCUUGUGUCCUUAAAUUAGUUGUGGAAGAGUUCAUGUUCAAUAGAUCAUUGAGAAUAAAUAUUUGGAUCAGGCCCUAAAAUACUGUCAUCCUUAUACAAUGUGCUUUAUAUAACUGUUUUCAUGAAUAUGUUCCAUAUACUUUUAAGAUAAAUAGUUCAUAACAUGAUAAGGAGUGGAUGAAUUGCCUUUUUUUCAAUAUGGCUUAUUAGCCUACUGCCUACCAUAGCCUGCAAUAUUAAGCCCAAUACCAUAACAUUCAUGGUAAUAAAUUAAUAAUAAAAUACAUAUAAAUAUUUAGGCCUAAACAAAUAAAUAAACAAAAAAUACAAAUAUAAUUACCACAUCUAUAACAUUAUAAGUAAAAUAUGUAGUAUGAUGAAUAGGUAUGAUAGUGAUUAUAGGUCUACAUCUACAUAGUUGUGCUUAUGAUUAUGAUGAUAUAUUAUGAUUAAAAGUUAGUCUGAUUGUAUUAUUGUAUUGUUAUUACACAAUAACACAUUUAACAUGUGCAAAUAUAAUCGGUGAUCAUUCCACAAAUCAAUGUAUUCCUCUUACCUAACUGGCUUCUUCUGUAUAGUGUGUUUUAUAACUCCCUCCAACAGGCUAAUGAACAUCUGAAAAGAGACUCAUCCAAUCAUUCUGAUAUGAACCUAAAAUCAAAUCUAAAAAUGUUUAAAAAUUCAAAAUGUAAAAAAAGAACGUGGAAUAGCCUACUGAGAAUGACUUGUUCGAAAAUUAAAUAUGCAGUCUAUUAUAUUUCUCUAUGGUUAGACGUUCUAAAAUAUUUUUAUAACAAACUAUAUGACAUUUUAUGUAUAUCUUUUUUCAAUAGGACCCAUCAAUGAUAUAUCAGUGAAAGCAUGCACCUCUAGAAAAAAAUCUUGCUCCUUAGACGUUUCUUUUUAUUAUAAAGGCAAGCUUACAUUGUAUAUACACUACUCAUUGAUGUUUCCGCUUGAUAUU